rnacentral:rRNA from 1 species
CCUACGGGUGGCAGCAGUGGGGGAUAUUGCACAUUGGGGGGAACUCUGAUGCAGCGACGCCGCGUGGGUGAAGAAGCGCCUCGGCGCGUAAAGCCCUGUCGGCAGGGAAGAAGAUGACGGUACCUGCAAAAGAAGCCCCGGCUAACUACGUGCCAGCAGCCGCGGUAAUACGUAGGGGGCAAGCGUUGUCCGGAUUUACUGGGUGUAAAGGGGGCGCAGGCGGCGAUGCAAGCCAGGAGUGAAAGCCCGGGGCUCAACCUCGGGACUGCUAUUGUAACUGCGUGGCUGGAGUGCAGGAGGGGCAGGCGGAAUUCCUGGUGUAGAGGUGAAAUGCGUAGAUAUCAGGAGGAACACCGGUGGCGAAGGCGGCCUGCUGGACUGCAACUGACGUUGAGGCCCGAAAGCGUGGGGAGCAAACAGGAUUAGAUACCCUUGUAGUC